AGAAUAUGAAAUUGCCAAUGGAGAUCUCUCUCAGGACGAAGUUUACACAAAAUAUCUUGAUGUUGAAAUCAACCCCAAAAAUACUACAAAAAUUGAAUUUCUCUGGAAUAAAGCCAUAUUCUCUCUGCUCUGGGCAAGACUGGGAGCAGAAUCAGUCAAUAUAAUACAUGGAGCAGAUGGACAUAGGUCAACUUUUUGUGGCCGUGGAACUGUGGCAUAUGGAGUUCCUCAGUUACUUACACCUUGCUAGAGGUCACCAAGGUCUGUACAACCAGCUGAGUAAACCCUCAGUCUUGUGCAUGGAAAUCUUGGCAACAGUGCAAUUAAAGCAAACUUAAAAAAAAUAAAAUUGUUGUUCCAUUUGGUUUUUUCAGUUCUUUGCAAACACACUUGUCCGUAUUUCUCGUGUUUGAGCCACGUUUAUUGUGCUUGUAACUAUGGAGCC
rnacentral:lncRNA from 13 species